UACGUAGGGGGCAAGCGUUGUCCGGAUUUAUUGGGCGUAAAGAGCGUGUAGGCGGCCUUACAGGUCCGUUGUGAAAACUCGAGGCUCAACCUCGAGACGCCGGUGGAAACCGUAAAGCUAGAGUCCGGAAGAGGAGAGUGGAAUUCCUGGUGUAGCGGUGAAAUGCGCAGAUAUCAGGAGGAACACCCGUGGCGAAAGCGGCUCUCUGGGACGGUACUGACGCUGAGACGCGAAAGCGUGGGGAGCGAACAGG
rnacentral:rRNA from 1 species